GGAAAUUUUGGAUUAAUAAUUUUGGAUACAGAAGAGACGAUAACAUUAUCAAUGAGUUUGAAUCAAUGAAAAGUCAAAUAUUUCUAUCAUUCUGCCAUUAUUGCUGUCUAAAGAAACAAUCAAUAAAUCGUUUGAAUAAAUAUUAAUUGCUAUCUUCAUUGAGUUUUGUUAAUUAUGUUCAAAGAGAAAAGAAUGUGAUAAAAUAAAACAAAGAAAAUAAAAAUAA